rnacentral:rRNA from 1 species
GACGAACGCUGGCGGCGUGCCUAAUACAUGCAAGUCGAACGCAGUGGGGACGGGUGAGUAACACGUGGGUAACCUCCCAUCAGAGGGGAUAACACUUGGAAACAGGUGCUAAACCGCUACUGAUGGAUGUACCCGCGGUGCAUUAGCUAGUGGGUGGGGGAACGGCUCACCAAGGCCACGAUGCAUAGCCGACCUGAGAGGUGGAUCGGCCACACGGGGACUGAGACACGGCCCAGACUCCUACGGGAGGCAGCAGUGGGGAAGCUGCGGCAAUGGACGAAAGUCUGACGGAGCAAUGCCGCGUGAGUGAAGAAGGUUUUCGGAUCGUAAAACUCUGUUGUCAGAGAAGCGGUAUCCAACCAGAAAGCAACGGCUAACUACGUGCCAGCAGCCGCGGUAAUUC